GUUUUUUAAGGCAAAUUACAAAGGUAAAAGAGAAGAAGAAAAACCAGAACCGGAUAAGAAAGUCCCUAAGCAACAGCAGUGAGUCCUAGCAGCACUGGUUACCGUAUCUGUGCAAGUGAAAGAGAUACUGUAAAACGCUCUGCCUCUCCCCAGCCUCCAGGAAAGCUUGUGCUCUAUGCAGAGCAGCCAUCUCAGCCAGCACCCAUACACAUUUGUGCCCUUGGAGCCAAAGUCUCUCCAUCACUUCAGCCACAUGAACCUGCACACGGACCAGUUUCCAGUGUAUAUGUAAAACUGCUGACAUGCCUUGUCACAGUGUCCUACACCCUUAGCAGGGAGGCUGUCACAUUUUGGAAGGAUUUCCAGUUUCCAGUUCCAUUUGGCACAAUUCAACCAUCUCCUGACCAUUUGCUCUUUUACUGCCUUAAGCUGGGGAAGCAAAAUCAGACGGAAGGAUAUAAUUUUACAUGGAAGCAAAAUGUUACUACUUGUACUGGGGAACAGAAAGUUAAAGUACGUUUGCAAAGCGGCCUAAAUUCUACCGAGGAGUAGUUAAGUAAAGCUGCUGCCCUGCUCCAGACCAACAGCAGUUUCUGCACAUGAGCAACCUGCUUUCACUGAAAGGCUUCAUCUCCAAGAGUGCAGUUUUGCAUUGGCUUUGGGCCAUCCCACAAGCUUCCCAGAGUUUCUCUCUUACAGAGGGUACACACACAGCCUGAACUGCCUCUGCUAGGAAUGAUCCAGUCAGAUGGAGAAAGCUGUGGAGAGCAGUCACAGUUUGGGAUGCAUCUCUCCUGCUCCAUGGAUGCACACUACAACUUCCCAGCAAAUCCACAAGUGACAACAAACUUGGAGAACUGGCAUGGACCAAAAAAAGGCCCCGUGUUUAAUUAACCAAGCAAAAUGGAGUAUGCUAUAGGACAUGUUUCCCUCAAAUCCACUACUGUUAGAGUUUCUAAUGAGGUUCCCUCAAGGGAAAGAAGUGCUCUGUUUUAUAAAGAAAAUUGUCAGUUCUGCAUCUAUCAACUAGGAAGGCUUUUAAUGAGGAGAGCUACUGAUCCAGAAUGACUCGCUACUGAAAGGUAUGAUGUAUACGUAAGAAAACCUUCCUACAGGACUUAAGGUUGAUAUCACACGCUGUGGUUAAAAUUGGAUUUUUUACAUCUUUUGUCUGGGGUGGGGGAGCCAACCAUUUCCUGAGAUGCCCAAUAUCUGGAUUUUUGUUAAGAAUUGUAACUCACAUCAAGAGAUUAUUUGUAUAUAUUUUGGGAACACCUCUCUGGCUAUUUCCUGACAGUGAUGACAUCACUUUGGGUAUAACCUCCAUUCAUUAGUGAGAAGCUCCCUACCCUUAGGUGGCCUUCAGCCAGUUGGACCAGCUGCACUAGGCAAC
ensembl:lncRNA